CUGAAGUAAAGGUCUUGGAGUGACUGCUGUUCCGUGAGAUGUGGGAAGUCUCUUGCUGAAGAAAGUGUCAUGGGCUUGGAUUGUUUCCACAGGGCCGCACUUAUGAGUUCAUGAGGACAAACUGUCCCUGCGUCUCCAACCAAGGAAAGAUCUGCUGAAGACAGGCUUCACUCAUGACCUGCUUUACGACCUCUGGAGAGAGAACACCACGUCUCCGUGCCUUAUCUUCCCUGUGCAAUCCUCUCAGCCCAUAAAGCCCAUCACUCAUAGAUGAACUGGAGACUUCUCUGGAAAACUCUGAGUGGGGAAAUAAAAGUGAACAUUGGAACGGACAAAACAGCCACAGCCUCUGAACUGUUGUCCUUAAACCAAACAUCUCUGUGUGAGGUUAAUCACGUGGGUCUCCUGGAGAUGUAGCCUUGUGAGGACUUCUCUAGGUACCGUGUUUACUGACAUUCCAAAGUUUGUUGCGUAUCUUUCAUAAAAUGUUGGGCUUCUCAGGAGUUCAAGUUAUGUACAUCACCUUGUCCUUUCUUCUUUGUUCUGAAAGUUCCCAUUUAAAAUAUGCAUUUCCUAUACACCGACAUUGUGCUACGUAUGAACCUCUAGGAUUUUGUAGCAAAGAGUAUAUUCCAGUCUGUGGAACCAAUGGCCGUACUUAUGGUAACAUAUGCAUUUUCUGUAUUGCAUACAGAAAAACCCGUGGUUUCAUUAUGUUCUCACAUGAUGGUGAAUGCUGAGUUUUAAUGGAGCUACAUAUCCCUGGGGAUCUUAUCAUGAUCACAGUUUUGCCCUGAAGUCUACAGUGGAUCAGAGAUUUUGUUAUCAGGUUCCCAAAGCCCUAGAAGAUUGGGUGAAUCUCUCUGUAGGAUACACAUGAGAAGACUAGACUGUCAUUGUUCUUUUCAUUUCUCAGGUCCUCUGGUCUCAAGGUUUUACUUCAUAUGAUGAACUACUUAUUGACAGUUAAAUUCCUAAAUCUUAAUUUUCCAUUCUGUAAACUGACAACUUAAAACCAUCAAUGCUCUAGUUAUGGUUCUUCAUAAAAUCUUAAACUCCACUCUUUAUUGAGAAAAUCUUUAGGGAGUUAGAAAUAUUUCCCAGUGGUUAGGGAAGCUUGAUAAUCUCUGUGAGAACCCAAGUUUGGUUUCCAGUGCUCAUAUCAGGUUUCUUAGAACCUCCAUCUUCAGGAAGUCUCAUACUAUCUUCUGUCUCCCACAGACACCUGCAUAGACAUGUUGUACA